rnacentral:lncRNA from 1 species
GAAUCUGAUAAGUUGUUGUUAAUUGGCCUACCAGCAGAAGAGAUCCCUCUUCCUCACCUACGGAAUAGGAUAGAAGAUGUUGCCCAAACCUUAAGAUUUAUGUAUGGUUCUUUAGAAAGGUAAGUGCCUCUUGUAAUUGAACUGCAAGCUUCAAGUAUCUGAUUCUAAAUCUCCUUUUCCACUUCAUCCUAGUCCUUGCUUGGCAAGAGAGUCAUUUGUUCAUU